AAUAUUACUGUAAGUCAUGGCCAACCAGAUGAGAAUGAAAUAGCUAUAAAAAAUUUUAGCGCUUGCCAAUCCCGGGUGAACAUUCUCAUCUACCAAGUAUUCGGGAACGAGCUCAAUUCUGGCUGCGAACUGAAUUACACAAGAGAUAUAUGUUUUGAUCGAUGCAACGCCCCUUUCACACGAAAAAUACCUAAUCUUUUUGACGAUCCCCGCUCCGAUUCGUAUCGCCGCAACCCUUGGCUCAGCCUAAGACUGUAAACUGAUAAUGCAUUGAGCAUGUCGUUAUCUGCUGGCGCGAUACCGCGAUGCUGGACUUGUAACGCAUAUGUUGCGCAAGAAACACGACGCGUCGUAUCGCCUGAUUUUCCGUCCCUCGACUUUAUUCAUCUCUAGACGCCCGCGGUCAGUUUUGGGUCAUUUGAUUUAUUCGGUAGUUAUUAUAUGAACUCCAUUUACAGCAUUAAUGAUAGCUCCAAGUGUAGAAGCCGUGAACGUGAUGCGAGCACGUGCCUUUCUCGUUCUGAUGCGUUAUCACGCCGUUUCUGUUGCGUCUUUUAUUGUAGCGAUGCGUGUACACGAAUUAUUUUUACAAUUAUAAAUGCGUGGCCUUAACUUAUGUCGGGGAGUCUCGAAGUGCACAAUUAAAAAAGCAAUUUACGGUUAAAAAACUCGGGAGCUAGACGCUAUAAGUAGAACGGCGCGAUGCACGAUUUACGGUUUUAAUUUUUGCUAAUUGGUACACAUUUUUUUUAUGAUCACGCUCAUAGGCUUAUCACUGGAAAAAUGUUUUUAUUUUUAUCAACUCAUACCAUACAUAGGUAUACGUGUGUAUCGAAUUGCCAUGUACACAUGGACAAGUCGACGAAAAGUAUUUUGCAUCCAUAUUCUUCGCCCAAUUAGAGUAAGCUAAAGUUCACGAUUAUGUUUAAUGCAAAACUAGAGGAGAUUGAAUGUAUAUGCUAUACACCGAUCAAAUUUAAUUUUUGCUCAUUAUAGAAUAUUUUCGAUUUUUCUUUCAUGUCAAAAUAUACGACAGCGGAAAUUGCUCGAAUACCAUUCUGCUCGUGACUGGGUCUGACAGCUCGGCAUCCGCCGAAUCUUGUCAGGCCGAGCAAUUUUGCUGUGUAUGUAAAAUAAUUACUUCGUGACUAUUGCCAAUUUUUUGGUAAGUAACGCAGGACUUCGUUUCGCAAGUAAGAAUCACUCUAUUACGUCAUUUCUCGAAGAAAAGAUACUCAUAAUUUUCAAAUAUUUUUUAAUCUUAUUAUUUAUUAGUGUAUUAAAUAUACUAUAAUUUAAUCUGAAAACCUUAUUUACUACAGGUAAUUCCUCUAGACUUGAAUAUAAUACAAUCUGAGUAUGAAAUCGGCUUACUUCGUUGGAGUCUAUCCGAUCAGGUUUCACUGCAUGCUAAGAAUUGCGAAAAAAUCAUCUUCCAACAACAAGUCAAUCAAGACUGGCUGACGUCGAAUCGCCUGAUUAUUGUUUAUGAAUUGUCUCGCGAACUGCGAUGGUUACACUCCUUGUUAUUGGCCACCAGUACGAACUGCGGCCAAGUGUCUCUGUACGUGGCACUACAGGUUGCCGAUUAAUUCUAUCUCUAUUUCUCGCUCUGAUUUUCAAUGCUAGCAAACAAUAACGGAAUGCGGCCUGCACGCUCCAAGCAUUGGGAAAUUUCCCUGCUAUAAAAAGACCAACUAGUCAAAUUACAAAUGUAGCAAUUUUUUGAAGCAAUGAUUCAGUUUACGAUAAUUCUAUCUAUGCAUGUCGUUAUACGAAUACAAUCAUUUUGGGGCGAUUAUUUAAACUGUUGACUUUGUUGAACAUUAGACGAUAAAUAUUGUUAAUUAACAAUAAAAGUAUGUCAAAGGAUAAGUUGAACGAGAAGUAAAAAUCCGUUACACCGAUAAAGAAUUUUUGAAGUCUUUCCAGUCUUAUCCUACAUGAGAAGAAAAGAAAAACCAUUACCCCGAAACCGUAUGAGGUUUGUUUGGAAAAUUUAUUAUAGUCUCCAUGCUCUAUAAACUUGUACUGUUUUUCUUUUUAUUACUGCUAUUAGCAGAACUAGUCUGAAAAUUCAUCUCGACCGAUAAGAUGACGGGUGUCGAUUGGAUUUAGUGCUAUUUAAUGUUCCUUACAAUAAACAUAACACGGCACAAUAGAGGACAUCAAUUCGUCUUGUAGAAUUUUCAAUCCAACCAAAGAAUAUUUACAUAUUGUAUAAAUUAUACUGUACAUAUGUAACGCAGAUGUAUUUCUUUCUAAAAUUGAAGCUACACGUAAGAAAAAAGAAUAAAAGAUACAACUGAUAUAUAUAUAUAUAUAUAUAUAUCAUUAUCUUAUUGCCAAAUAACUGAAACGAAUCAAUGACCCCGAGAAAUUUGUUGAGUGUACAUGCCGUGAUUAUCACAGCCUAGGCAAACGUUACACAAUAAAGAAAAAAGUAAAUCCUCAGAUGAAACACUCCAUCGCUGUUGAGUAUCUCGAAUUGAUUUAGGCGAAUUUCAAAAUUGUA